CAGAAAAAUAUCAUUCCAUUUUUUGUAUUCCAAAAUUUUCCAUAAAAUUUGUUCCCCUUUCCCUUCUCUCAGCAUACAGGACUGCAAUCAAUCAAUAACUUUCCUCACCCUUCAAACCCUAACCCUAAUUCUCAUAUUAUACACAGAGCCAUCAGAAUCAUCGUUUCUUCAAUAUCCCUUCCGUAAACUUGCAAUCUCAGCUAUGAAACUCGUCUCUGAUCUCUCGUGACGCAUAUGACGAUCGAGGUUAUUGGCGCCGUGAAAACCGAUUGCAUGGGUUUGGAGAAUGCCGGAGCUUCGUAGUGGACCGCGGCGUGGUCGUGCUCAGGUAGGCCGUAAAAUCGCUGAACCACCGUCUCCGGCGGCCAACUACGUGAAGACUCGAGCUGCGGUCGCCAGGGCGGCUGCGGCAGUGGCGACGGUGGCCGAGGAGAGGCCCAGGACUCGCUUGGCGGCGAAGAAAUUGGAGCAGGAGGAGAAGCCAGUGAUUGUGAUAUCGGAGGAGGAGGCCGAGAGCGACGUAGAGCGCGCGAAGAAUAAGAAGAGCGAAGAGCGGAUUGAAGUCGGCGUAAUGGGUGACGAGAGUGGCGGGUUGAGUGCCAACAAGGGCGUUGCCUGCACUGGUCGAUAACUUGUUGCUUGUUUUUGUUUGAUAUGUUUUCAUUCGGCAGGUUCAAGUGGGAGGAUCACCUGUCUACAAGGUGGAUAGGAAGCUGGGAAAAGGUGGCUUUGGUCAAGUCUUUGUUGGCCGUCGAGUUACCGGGGGUAAUGAUCGUAGUAGUGGCCCUGGGGCUACUGAGGUGGCUCUAAAAUUUGAACAUAGGAAUAGUAAAGGCUGUAAUUAUGGCCCUCCUUAUGAGUGGCAAGUUUACAACACCCUUGGUGGCAGUCAUGGAAUACCAAAGGUACACUAUAAAGGAAGACAAGGAGAAUAUUAUGUAAUGGUUAUGGACAUGCUUGGUCCAAGCUUGUGGGAUGUGUGGAACUCUUCAAGCCAGGCGAUGCCUGCAGAAAUGGUUGCAUGUAUAGCUGUUGAGUCCUUGUCAAUCCUGGAGAAAAUGCAUUCAAGGGGAUAUGUGCAUGGAGAUGUAAAGCCAGAGAACUUUUUACUAGGCCAGCCAGGGACACCACAAGAGAAGAAAUUGUACCUGGUUGACCUUGGAUUAGCAACAAAGUGGAGAGACACCUCCAGUGGGCAGCAUGUUGAAUAUGAUCAACGUCCAGAUAUGUUUAGAGGGACUGUUCGAUAUGCAAGUGUUCAUGCUCACUUGGGAAGAACUGCUAGUAGAAGGGACGAUCUUGAAUCUCUGGCAUAUACACUCAUCUUCCUUCAUAAAGGGCGGUUACCAUGGCAAGGUUAUCAGGGUGAUAACAAGUCCUUCCUUGUUUGCAAAAAGAAGAUGGGAACAUCUCCAGAGAUGCUCUGUUGCUUCUGCCCUCCUCCUUUUAGGCAAUUUCUUGAGAUUGUAGUGAACAUGAAAUUUGAUGAAGAACCAAACUAUUCCAAGCUAAUCUCUCUUUUUGAUGGUAUGCUUGGUCCAAAUCCUGCAUUACGGCCGAUUAACACUGAAGGUGCUCAAAAGGUUGGGCAAAAGCGGGGUAGAUUGAAUAUUGAGGACGAGGAUGAUUCACAACCCAAAAAGAAGGUUCGUUUGGGGGUUCCUGCUACACAAUGGAUUUCAGUUUACAAUGCCAGACUACCAAUGAAACAAAGGUAUCACUAUAAUGUAGCUGAUGCAAGACUAGCACAGCAUGUUGAGAGGGGGAUUGCAGAUGGCCUUCUUAUUAGUUGUGUUGCAUCUUGUUCCAAUCUCUGGGCACUUAUUAUGGAUGCUGGAACUGGUUUUACAACUCAAGUUUACAAGUUGUCACCAUUUUUCUUACACAAGGAAUGGAUUAUGGAGCAGUGGGAAAAGAACUAUUAUAUUACUUCAAUAGCUGGCGCUAAUAAUGGAAGCUCUCUUGUGGUGAUGUCAAAAGGCACGCAGUACACACAACAAUCAUACAAAGUAAGUGAUUCUUUCCCCUUCAAAUGGAUAAACAAGAAGUGGAGAGAAGGUUUUCAUGUCACCUCGAUGGCCACUGCCGGAAGUCGCUGGGGUGUUGUUAUGUCUAGAAAUGCUGGAUUCAGUGACCAGGUUGUUGAGCUUGAUUUUCUCUAUCCUAGUGAGGGAAUCCACAGACGAUGGGAUAAUGGUUACAGGAUUACAGCAACUGCUGCUACAUGGGAUCAAUCUGCUCUUAUAUUAAGUAUUCCAAGGCGCAGGCCAGGUGAUGAAACUCAGGAAACACUACGCACAUCUCAAUUUCCCAGCACACACGUUAAGGAAAAAUGGUCAAAAAACCUUUAUCUUGCUUGUUUGUGCUAUGGGCGCACUGUAUGCUGAUAUCCUCAACAGAUCAAAGCAUUGAUUGAUUUGGAAUAGAAUCAUAUUUUCUGCUUGUUUAGUUGUGCAAGCAGGAAACUGUAUCUUCGGCUGUUAUAUAGUGUUGUUGUUCUCUCCCAUUCUAUUGUAAGUUCUUUGCGUGGGGGAUGUGUUUAAUGUUAAUCUAUACAGCUUAGCUUUAUGCUCCUCCAAUAUGUAUAUGUAGGUGUUACCAAAAUUUUUGUAUGAUUUUCAAGAAAAGAUUGACCCAAUGAUAGAGACGGCUAAUAAGAAAAUACAAUUGCUUGUACGGAUAACGUUCUUUGUGAAUGAAGAGUUCAAGCCAAUCAUAAGUUAA